UACGGGGGGGGUAAGCGUUGUUCGGAAUUACUGGGCGUAAAGGGCUCGUAGGCGGCCAACUAAGUCAUACGUGAAAUCCCUCAGCUUAACUGGGGAACUGCGUGUGAUACUGGAUGGCUUGGAUUUGGGAGAGGGAUGCGGAAUUCCAGGUGUAGCGGUGAAAUGCGUAGAUAUCUGGAGGAACACCGGUGGCGAAGGCGGCGACCUGGUCCAUUACUGACGCUGAGGCGCGACAGCGUGGGGAGCAAACAGG
rnacentral:rRNA from 1 species